AUCUCGAAAGCCUGUCCCAGUUCGGACUGGAGUCUGNAACCCGACUCCACGAAGUUGGAUUCGCUAGUAAUCGCGCAUCAGCCAUGGCGCGGUGAAUACGUUCCCGGGCCUUGUACACACCGCCCGUCAAGCCAUGGGAGCCGGGGGCGCCUGAAGUCCGGGACCGCGAGGACCGGCCUAGGGCGAAACUGGUAACUGGGGCUAAGUCGUAACAAGGUACC
rnacentral:rRNA from 1 species